UACGUAGGUGGCAAGCGUUAUCCGGAAUUAUUGGACGUAAAGAGCGCGCAGGUGGUUAAUUAAGUCUGAUGUGAAAGCCCACGGCUUAACCGUGGAGGGUCAUUGGAAACUGGUUGACUUGAGUGCAGAAGAGGGAAGUGGAAUUCCAUGUGUAGCGGUGAAAUGCGUAGAGAUAUGGAGGAACACCAGUGGCGAAGGCGGCCUGCUGGACGACAACUGACGGUGAGGCGCGAAAGCGUGGGGAGCAAACAGG
rnacentral:rRNA from 1 species